GACGAACGCUGGCGGCGUGCUUAACACAUGCAAGUCGAACGGAAAGGCCCUGCUUUUGUUGGUCUCUCGAGUGGCGAACGCGUGAGUAACACGUGAGUAACCUGCCCUUGACUUUGGGAUAACUUCAGGAAACUCGGGCUCAUACCGGAUAUGAGCUCCUGCUGCAUGGUGGGGGUUGGUGAGUUUCGGCGGUUGGGGAUGGACUCGCGGCUUAUCAGCUUGUUGGUGGGGUAGUGGCUUACCAAGGUUUUGACGGGUAGCCGGCCUGAGAGGGUUACCGGCCACAUUGGGACUGAGAUACGGCCCAGACGCCUACGGGAGGCAGAAGUGGGGAGUAUUGCAGAAUGGGCGGAAGCCAGAUGCAGCAACGCCGCGUGCGGGAAGACGGCCUUCGGGUUGUAAACCGCUUUCUCCUGUGACGAAGCGUGCGUGACGGUAAUGGGUAAAGAAGCAACGGCUAACUACGUG
rnacentral:rRNA from 1 species